GACAGAGGUGCCGAGCGUUAGGCGGAAUCACUGGGCUUAAAGCGUGUGUAGGCGGGUCGUUAAGUGCCUUGUGAAAUCCCACCGCUCACCGGUGGAACUGCUUGGCAUACUGGCGGUCUUGAGCCACUUAGGGGCAACCGGAACAAACGGUGGAGCGGUAAAAUGCGUAGAUAUCGUUUGGAACGCCAAUGGUGAAAACAGGUUGCUGGGAGUGUGCUGACGCUGAGACACGAAAGCCAGGGGAGCAAACGGG
rnacentral:rRNA from 1 species